CCUAAACCUAAAUCCCCGUUCUUCCUCGACCUUUUCCUUCUUCUAUCUUCCCUCUUUCUCUAUUUCGAAGCAUUAUCAAAAAUGGAAGGCACCUUGUAUUGUUAUUGUGGUAAAGGGUAGAAUUGAUAAUUUCGUGGUCACAAAAUAACCCCGGUCGCAGGUAUCUUGGAUGCCAAUAUGGUCGAGAAGGGUGUAAGUAUUUAAGUGGCUUGAAGAUGAAUUUUCUGAACAAGCUAAGAUUGUAAUUUGGGGAUUUUUGAAGAGGAUCAAAAAAUACGACGAAGAAAAGGAGAAGAUGAGGAGAAAGUACAGAAUGUUGUUGGUCAUUGUGAUACUUGCUUGGAUUGUCUGAGAGUUUCUUAUGUAAUAUUUGCUAUGUUAGUUGAAAUUUAGUUGGUUGAAGGAGCUCUUUUGUGUAUUGGCAGUUAUGUAAACCAGUAGCUAUUUUGAAUGUUAUAAUGUAAGAAACUUAGAUGAAUACAAGUUGAAUCACUUUUGGACUAA